rnacentral:rRNA from 1 species
UACGUAGGCAGCGAGCGUUGUUCGGAAUUACUGGGCGUAAAGAGUGUGUAGGCGGUGCUCUAAGUUCGGUGUGAAAUCUCCUGGCUCAACUGGGAGGGUGCGCCGGAAACUGGAGUGCUUGAGCGUGGGAGAGGAAAGCGGAAUUCACGGUGGAGCAGUGAAAUGCGUGGAUAUCGUGAGGAACACUAGUGGCGAAGGCGGAUGUCUGGACA